rnacentral:rRNA from 1 species
CCCUACGGGGGGCAGCAGUAGGGAAUCUUCCACAAUGGACGAAAGUCUGAUGGAGCAACGCCGCGUGAGUGAAGAAGGGUUUCGGCUCGUAAAGCUCUGUUGGUAGUGAAGAAAGAUAGAGGUAGUAACUGGCCUUUAUUUGACGGUAAUUACUUAGAAAGUCACGGCUAACUACGUGCCAGCAGCCGCGGUAAUACGUAGGUGGCAAGCGUUGUCCGGAUUUAUUGGGCGUAAAGCGAGUGCAGGCGGUUCAAUAAAGUCUAUUUUAAAACCUU